UUCUCAGAACUGAUUGCGAUGAUCUUCCAUGAAGUCACUUGGUGUUGCUGAUUGUGGAAGUGUGCCAACACAGGUGCUAAGGGAGAGACUCUUCAGAAGACAUGAUGACUAUCUACCGUAGGUGUGGACAUUGCCCCAGUCAGUCCUGGCUUCAGACCUGAGUGGAAACCCCUCUCCCUGCUGAGGACAGUCUUCACCCCCCCUCCUCACUGUUGGAGAGGCUUGUUCACAGCAGCACAUGUGGCUCAGGACCUGCUCUGAUAGUUCCAGUGUCUGGACCGUUUUUAUUUAUGUGCAGAUUUCACAGAAAAGCCUGCCAGAUAUUCACUAUGUAAAUAUAUAUAUAAUAAAAGUUUGGUCUUAUUGAUUCGUCUAAAAUAUAUACAAAAAGAGGUUUGAGUUCAUGGUUAAUACCAUACCAUAACCCUACUGAACAUCACAUGCUGGGGUAUACAAUUAGGGACAUGAGCUGUACUGAAGAAUAGGACUGGUAGCUCUAUGGCACAUUAUUUAUGGCAACAGAUAAUGUUCCAUUUGCAACUUCAAUCGCAAGAUAUAAGAAAUGUAUGAAAUGAAAUAUAUGUCACACACCUUCAAUAGUUUUAUCAAGAUCACUGUAAAUGAAUGUGUUAGCUUUUGUUUAUGUUCAUGUCCAGUGUCUAUGCUCUUUCUGAGGAGGAGUAGAACUAUAGUGGGUUCAGGUACUAUGCUGCGUACAAAUGGAAUGAGCUCCAAAAAAAAAAGAAAAAAGAAAAUCGAUGACAGACAGAGAUC